rfam:Dipodomys ordii contig_48763, whole genome shotgun sequence.
GGUGGCUCAGCGGUAGAGUGCUUGCUUUGCAAGCAUGAGGCCCUGGGUUCGAUUCCUCAGCACCA